GACGAACGCUGGCGGCGUGCUUAACACAUGCGAGUCGAACGGAAAGGCCUGCUUUCCCUUGUGGAUUGCGGGUACUCGAGUGGCGAACGGGUGAGUAACACGUGAGUGAUCUGCCCCCAACUUGGGUAUAAGCCUGGGAAACUGGGUCUAAUUCCCGAUAGGACUGCAGGGUGGUGCCUGUGGUGGAAAACGAUUUUCUAGUGGUUGGGGAUGAGCUCGCGGCCUAUCAGCUUGUUGGUGGGGUAAUGGCCUACCAAGGCGGCGACGGGUAGCCGGACUGGGAGGGUGGACGGCCACACUGGGACUGGGAUCCGGCCCAGACUCCUACGGGAGGCAGCAGUGGGGAAUAUUGCACAAUGGGCGGAAGCCUGAUGCAGCGACGCCGCGUGGGGGAUGACGGCCUUCGGGUUGUAAACUCCUUUCGGCCGCGAGGAAGCCACCUGGUUGGAAGGGUGGUGACGGUAGUGGUAGAAGAAGCACCGGCUAACUACGUG
rnacentral:rRNA from 1 species